AUCCAAGGGAUUAGCAAAGUUGCUAAUCCCCGGCAACGGCGCCAAAAUUUUGAUGCGAAAUAGAUAAGCACACAAAUUAAACCCUCUUUUUGUCAAAUUGUAGUAAAGAUGUAAGUAGGGAUCGUUCUAGACCGGGGAUUAGGAGGGAUUGCUAAACACUUGAAAACUGACUUAAAAACAUAAAAACAAAGUUUAAAACACUAAACUAGACUCAAAGAAUGCAAAACUAAAGUUUAAAACACUUGAACAAACACAAAACUCAAAACAGCAACCUAAUGACUCAAAACUGCCUAAAACCACUUUCUGGGCAGUUUUGAGAACCUAACAAGAACUUGGACGAAAUUGGGUGAAGACUUGAAUCAAAACAUUUAGAAACACAAAUCAAAACAUAUUCUAACUAAUCUAAGACUUCAAAACAAAGGGGGA
rnacentral:lncRNA from 1 species